rnacentral:ncRNA from 1 species
AGCCCCGUGAGUAAGCCCUCAAUCCCCUGCCCGGGGACGAGGAGCAGGCAUCAGGCACAAAUUUUUAGCCCAAAACGCCAGGCCGAGCCACACCCCCAAGGGAAUUCAGCAGUGAUAAAUAUUAAGCCAUAAGUGAAAACUUGACUCAGUUAGAGCUAAGAGGGCCGGUAAAACUCGUGCCAGCCACCGCGGUUAAACGAGAGGCCCUAGUUGAUAGUGCAACGGCGUAAAGGGUGGUUAAGGAUAGCGAAAUAAUAAAGUCGAAUGGCCCUUUGGCUGUCAUACGCUUCUAGGAGUCCGAAGCCCAAUAUACGAAAGUAACUUUAAGAAAGCCCACCUGACCCCACGAAAACUGAGGAACAAACUGGGAUUAGAUACCCCACUAUGCUCAGUCAUAAACCCAGACGUCCAACUACAAUCAGGCGUCCGCCCGGGUACUACGAGCAUUAGCUUGAAACCCAAAGGACCUGACGGUGCCUCAGACCCCCCUAGAGGAGCCUGUUCUAGAACCGAUAACCCCCGUUAAACCUCACCGCUUCUAGCCAUCCCAGCCUAUAUACCGCCGUCGUCAGCUUACCCUGUGAAGGCAACAAAAGUAAGCAAAAUGGGCACAACCCAGAACGUCAGGUCGAGGUGUAGCGUACGGAGCGGGAAGAAAUGGGCUACAUUUUCUAUUAUAGAACACUACGGACAUGCAACAUGAAAUAGUGCUUGAAGGAGGAUUUAGUAGUAAAAAGGAAGCAGCGUGUCCUUUUGAACCCGGCUCUGAGACGCGUACACACCGCCCGUCACUCUCCCCUGUCGAAAUGUAAUAAAGUUACCUAACACCAAAGCUCUGACAAGGGGAGGCAAGUCGUAACAUGGUAAGUGUACCGGAAGGUGCACUUGGAUAAAAU